rnacentral:rRNA from 1 species
CGGACGGGUGAGUAACGCGUGGGUAACCUGCCUUGUACUGGGGGACAACAGUUAGAAAUGACUGCUAAUACCGCAUAAGCGCACAGUAUCGCAUGAUACCGUGUGAAAAACUCCGGUGGUACAAGAUGGACCCGCGUCUGAUUAGCUAGUUGGCAAGGUAACGGCUUACCAAGGCGACGAUCAGUAGCCGACCUGAGAGGGUGACCGGCCACAUUGGGACUGAGACACGGCCCAA